CAGCCGCCGCGGUAAUACCGGCGGCCCGAGUGGCGGUCACUAUUAUUGGGCUUAAAGCGUCCGUAGCCGGGGUGGGAAGUCCUCCGGGAAAUCUGGCCGCUUAAAGGUCAGAAUGCCGGAGGAUACUCCCAGCCUAGGGAGCGGGGGAGGCCGAGGGGAUUCCCGGAGUAGGGGGGAAAUCCUAUAAUCCCGGGAGGACCACCUGUGGCGAAGGCGCUCGGCUGGAACGCGUCCGACGGUGAGGGACGAAGGCCAGGGGAGCAAACCGGAUUAGAUACCCGGGUAGUCCUGGCUGUAAACGAUGCGGACUUUGUGUCGGACAAGCUAUGAGCUUGUCCGGUGCCGGAGGGAAACCGUUAAGUCCGCCGCCUGGGGAGUACGGCCGCAAGGCUGAAACUUAAAGGAAUUGGCGGG
rnacentral:rRNA from 1 species